rnacentral:rRNA from 1 species
GACGAACGCUGGCGGUGUGCUUAACACAUGCAAGUCGAACGGAAAGGCCCUGCUUUUGUGGGGUGCUCGAGUGGCGAACGGGUGCGUAACACGUGAGUAACCUGCCCUUGACUUUGGGAUAACUUCAGGUAACUGGGGCUAAUAUCGGAUAGGAUCUCCUCCUGCAUGGUGGGGGUUGGAACGUUUCGGCGGUCGGGGAUGGACUCGCGGCUUAUCAGCUUGUUGGUGGGGUAGUGGCUUACCAAGGCUUUGACGGGUCGCCGGCCUGGGAGGGUGACCGGCCACAUUGGGACUGAGAUACGGCCCAGACUCCUACGGGAGACAGCAGUGGGGAGUAUUACACAAUGGGAGGAAGCCUGAUGCAGCAGCGCCGCGGGCGGGAUGACGGCCUGCGGGUUAUAAACCGCUUUCGCCUGUGACGAAGCGUGAGUGACGGUAAUGGGUAAAGAAGCACCGGCUAACUACGUG